rnacentral:rRNA from 1 species
AUUGAACGCUGGCGGAAUGCUUUACACAUGCAAGUCGAACGGCAGCACGGACUUCGGUCUGGUGGCGAGUGGCGAACGGGUGAGUAAUACAUCGGAACGCGCCCAGUCGUGGGGGAUAACGUAGCGAAAGCUACGCUAAUACCGCAUACGAUCUAAGGAUGAAAGCGGGGGAUCGCAAGACCUCGCGCGAUUGGAGCGGCCGAUGGCAGAUUAGGUAGUUGGUGGGGUAAAGGCCUACCAAGCCGACGAUCUGUAGCUGGUCUGAGAGGAUGAUCAGCCACACUGGGACUGAGACACGGCCCAGACUCCUACGGGAGGCAGCAGUGGGGAAUUUUGGACAAUGGGCGCAAGCCUGAUCCAGCCAUUCCGCGUGCAGGAUGAAGGCCUUCGGGUUGUAAACUGCUUUUGUACAGAACGAAAAGGCUCUGGUUAAUACCCGGGGCUCAUGACGGUACUGUAAGAAUAAGCACCGGCUAACUACGUGCCAGCCGCCGCCGCAG